GGGGGCGACCUGGUUUCGACGUGGAUUGCGAAGCCAUCGGAGCAUGCCGAGGUGCAGAAAUCCUCGUAAAUCCAACUGCAAACUAUUAGUUGCCAACGACGACAACUACGCCCUAGCGGCUUAAUCCCCGCUAGCCUCUCACCCAGUUGGUCCGUGGGCUAGGAUUCGAGAGGUCAUAAAACGCGGACUCGCUCUGUAGUCAGCUCGCGGUCUACAGGGUCAAAUACUAGUGGGCUCGUCUAUUGUGAUCCUGUCUGUUGGAGCGCCAUAGACUAGAUAAAAAACAGACUAAGCAUGUAGGAGCCGGUGAGUAGAGAAUUUGCGGACGCGGGUUCGAUUCCCGCCGCCUCCACCA
rnacentral:tmRNA from 1 species